UACGGGGGGGGGCAAGCGUUGUUCGGAAUUACUGGGCGUAAAGGGCUCGUAGGUGGCCAACUAAGUCAGACGUGAAAUCCCCAGGCUCAACUUGGGAACUGCGUCUGAUACUGGAUGGCUUGAAUUCGGGAGAGGGAUGCAGAAUUCCUGGUGUAGCGGUGAAAUGCGCAGAUAUCAGGAGGAACACCGAUGGCGAAGGCAGGUCUCUGGGCCGAUACUGACGCUGAGGAGCGAAAGCGUGGGGAGCGAACAGG
rnacentral:rRNA from 1 species